CCUUUGACGUUAGCGGCGGACGGGUGAGUAACACGUGGGUAACCUACCUGUAAGACUGGGAUAACUUCGGGAAACCGGAGCUAAUACCGGAUAAUAUUUCGAACCGCAUGGUUCGAUAGUGAAAGGUGGUUUUGCUAUCACUUAUAGAUGGACCCGCGCCGUAUUAGCUAGUUGGUAAGGUAACGGCUUACCAAGGCGACGAUACGUAGCCGACCUGAGAGGGUGAUCGGCCACACUGGAACUGAGACACGGUCCAGACUCCUACGGGAGGCAGCAGUG
rnacentral:rRNA from 1 species